CCUGUUUUAGCCUUUUAAGUUUUGCUUUCUGUAGACGCUUCUCCGUCAAAAAGAACUCAUCUGUCGCAACAAUUUUAAUCGCCGGAUAAGUCUUCCACCUAGGCCAACGAUAAUCGCCGACCACUCUCAAACCUUCUUUUGGGCUCUGAUGCCCCAGACCACCAUGGAUUAUGGUUGCCCUAUGUUCUUAAAGAUCAUAUUCUCUCCCACCAGACCUUGCCGACACUGAAAGAUCGAUUGGAACCGCAACAGAAGCAACAACGACUGUUUUGAAGGAGAGAAUUGAAGGAUUGCUUGGGAAUCGAGCCUCUUCUAUUUAGCAGGGAGAGAAACCUGCAUAUGCAGAGCGUUUAUAUCUGGAGAAAAGAGUCGGAUGAUAGUCGGUGGAUAUGCUCCAGGUGAGAAUUCUGAAUCUUAUGGUCGAAUUUCAGGUAUGCAGUGGUUACAUUUGCAAAAACUCAAAAACAGUCGGAGAAGAGAAAAGCGGCCUUGAAGCUCCUCAAAACCCAAUUCGCAUGUGUAAACCAUUCAAACAUGUGAUUCUCUUCUUUUUUUCCAAUUUUUGUGUAUGAUAAGUAGAGAAUUAGAUACUUGCCAAAUGGUAUAUUUAUGUAUCCGUGUGUCUUUAAGGGCAUCCUUGGACAUAUGAGGUGGAUUUUUAUAUUAAUCUUGCAAUAGAAGAAGUACAAUCAUCUCCAACA